GGGGCCUGGCUCGGGCGGCAGCGGCGGCUGUUGCGGAUGGGAGCGGGCCGGUUUGGCGCGCCUAUGGAGCGCCAGGGCAGGGCUGCCGCCACCUCAGCCGCGGCCGGCGAGUCUGCGGACUCCGAAGUGCGGAGGCGGGAGCCGCUCAGGCGCCGGGCGAGUAGCGCGGCUCCGUCAGAGUCAGGGCCGGCAGAGAGCUUGAGACGGGAGCGGCCCGGCUCCCUCGGCGGCUCUGUCUCGGCCGCCCGCCCGCGCGGCGAGGGCCUCCGGA
rnacentral:lncRNA from 1 species